UCUUAUUAUACUCUAGCUUCUCUAGGCCUAUAAAUACUCUUAUGUCUCGACACAAGUUGCAAUACUCAUCAACUAACAAGUUCUUUAAACCAGCUCUCACAUUGAUUCACACACACACACACAAGGUGAAUUCUCACAAAUGGGCACAUGAUCUCAAUCAUUUGGGUAGGUAAGCAAUCGUCUAAUAUGAAUGAAGAGAAGGAUUCAAAUGUUGUCAUUUCAAGGUGGUUAUCACUCAAGAACAAGGAGCUUGAACAUUGUGCAAAAUUUAUCUAAGACUAGAAGCAACUCAUGCAUACAUAGAUUCAUUCUCAUCAUUCUACCCCUUUUUAUAAGUGAUUACAAGUUCUACCCUUUUAUCAUCAUCUCAAAACCAAAAUAACACCCACUCACAUCACUCACCCAAUGAACAACUCUCUUUUUCUUUUGACUCAACCAACUAGGGACUUCAAUUCACUUUUUACAACACUUAGCUGUAACUCUUUCUCAUUUACCUCCCCACCUUCUCUUUGAUUCUUUUCUCUUUUUUCUUUUAAUAAGGGGAAAGGUUUUUUUGUAUAUAAUCUAGAGCUUCAUACUUUCCUUUUGUCCCUGGAGUUUUUUUUUCUAAUAACACUCUUUUGUUCAUCUUUCUCAUCUUUCUCACUCCCCAAAUCCAAAAUAUUAACAUUUAGAAUACACAAACCCCUCUCACCAUCCCCAAAUGCUAGCUCAUUAUGCUAGCAAGAGAUGAGAACAAAUCUAUGCCGCCU
rnacentral:lncRNA from 1 species